GACGGGGGAGGCAAGCGUUGUCCGGAAUUAUUGGGCGUAAAGAGCGCGUAGGUGGUUUGUAAAGUCAUUUGUGAAAACUUUAGGCUUAACUUAAAGACUGCAAGUGAUACUGACAAACUUGAGUACAGUAGAGGAAAGUGGAAUUCCUGGUGUAGCGGUGAAAUGCGCAGAUAUCAGGAAGAACACCAGUGGCGAAGGCGGCUUUCUGGGCUGUUACUGACACUGAGGCGCGAAAGCUAGGGGAGCGAACAGGAUUAGAUACCCUGGUAGUCCUAGCUGUAAACGAUGGAUACUAGGUGUGGGGAGUUAUCGACGCUUUCCGUGCCGAAGCUAACGCAUUAAGUAUCCCGCCUGGGGAGUACGGCCGCAAGGCUA
rnacentral:rRNA from 1 species